GUGGGGAAUAUUGGGCAAUGGGCGUAAGCCUGACCCAGCAACGCCGCGUGAAGGAAGAAGGCUUUCGGGUUGUAAACUUCUUUUAUUGAGGACGAAACAAAUGACGGUACUCAAUGAAUAAGCCAAGGCUAACUACGUGCCAGCAGCCGCGGUAAUACGUAGGUGGCAAGCGUUAUCCGGAUUUACUGGGUGUAAAGGGCGCGUAGGCGGGACUGCAAGUCAGAUGUGAAACCCAUGGGCUCAACCCAUGGCCUGCAUUUGAAACUGUAGUGCUUGAGUGAUGGAGAGGCAGGCGGAAUUCCGUGUGUAGCGGUGAAAUGCGUAGAUAUACGGAGGAACACCAGUGGCGAAGGCGGCCUGCUGGACAUUAACUGACGCUGAGGCGCGAAAGCGUGGGGAGCAAACAGG
rnacentral:rRNA from 1 species